UUUGUGAUUUCUCUACAUAAUAAGAUCAUGUUAUUUACAAAUGGGUGAUUUUACUUCUUCCUUCCUGAUUUGGAAGAUUUUUAUUUCUUUUUCUUGCCUGAUUGCUGUGGUAAGACUUCCAAUACUAUGUUGAAUAGAAGUGGUGAGAGUGAACACCCUUGUCUUGCUCCUGAUCUUAUAGGAAAAGCUUUCAGCUUUGACUACUGAAUGCAAUAUUUGCUGUGGACUUGUCAUAAAUGGCCUUUAUUAUGUUGAAGUAAAUUCCUUUUAUACCAAAUUUAUUGGGAGUUUUGAAUUUUAAGUUCUUUUGCAUCUAAGUCCUCCAAGUCCUUGAGUAAGUGCUCAAAUGUGGCCUGGGUAAGAAAACACUGACAUCAGCAGCCAAGGUGACCUUGUGUUGUGCUUUUAUUCUGUGAAUGACCUGGCACUAAAUGCUGUCCCUCCAUAAUUCUUCCCAACCCCAUUGGAGAAGACUCUGGGGCCAGAUUCUCCCUCCUUGUUCCAAGGUCCCUAGGUGACUCCCUGGGAGUGGCCCAGGUGUCUGUCUCUGCCUGGCUUGUCCAUGCCCUGAUAGAGGGUAAAGCCAGGGCCAGAGCUGCUGAUGUGGUUGGGGAAGUGGGAAAGAACUGAAGGCAGCCCAGAGUGGUGAUUCCACUUGUUUGCAAGAUCGUGGCUCAUUGCUCCAUCCACCAUCCCAUGGAUCUGCUGCCUCUUCUGUUCCUGGAUGCUGUUACUGCUUUCAGGCUUCCAGUGUGCACCAGCACAGCCACCAGACUGGGAAGAAACAUGCCCCAGGGAGGUGAUGUCGCUGAUAUCCACUAGUGCUCAGCACGUGGCUUCCUCUUGUCCUCAGCACAGUUUUGGACACAGACAUGGACACUCCCAUUUUACUGAAGGAAACCAGCCCAGGCUCACACAGCUGCCUAUCCAUAUUUUGCCUGACCAUUUCCCUCUUGGCUGUGAUGUGUUUGAAAUUCACUGGAAACAUAGCAUUAUUACCGCUUCCAUGGGAACUUAUGCUUGUCUAAUUUACCUCCAGUGAACUGUUUUUGUGCCAUCUCCCCCUUCCUUUCUGAUUUGAAAACCUUUGCUGUUGGUGAUGUGGGAAAAAUCAUAGGACCUGAUUUGACAGAAUUGUUUGUCAGUUCAGGAAAUAGCCAACUGCAGGAGACAUUUCUCUGGUGUUUCUGGUACAGUCAAGUAUAUGAAGAUCAAAUUUCUGAGAAGAUUAAGUACUACAUGAAGGAAAAUGAAAAAUGUGCAGAAAAAAAUACCAUUUGUGAAGAGCAGGUUCACCUCUCCCUUAAUGAAGUUGAUACCAGCGAAGUGAAAUUGAAGUCUGAAAAACAGCCUCUGCAGAAAGAAAAUGCUCAGCUCAAGACCCAAAAGAAUCAGGCAGAAAAUGGGAGCUGGGGGACAACUGUGAUGCACUUAGGUUGUGAAAGGGGCAAAGGACGCCAAAUGGGACACACCGAGGAAGAAUGUAGACGUUCAUGAUGGAAUGUGUGGACAAAGACAGAAGCUCACAGAAAAGAGACAAUAUUCUGAAGAAAGCUGGGACUGAAAGAAUGGGAGCAGGUGGAAGGGGAGAAGCAGCUGUCAGCCACAGAGGAGAAAGUCAAAUUAGCUGCAGAAGAGCUUCAGAACUACAAGUGAGUUCAGCUCCUACCACCAUUUCAUGUGAUGGCCAUUGUAUUACUUUGAAACUUUGUACAGUGUUUAGAGCCAAGUAGCACACAAAUAUACACAUUCAAGAGACUUUCAUUUAUAUAGAGACUUCAAGAGAGAUGUGACAUUUUCCAGAUGUUAAGUUAAAAAUAUUAAUCUAAAUAGGUUAAAGUAACUAAAGAUUUCCUGAUCCUCAUUGCUGGCCAGACUAUUUGGAAAUGUGGUUCCUGAACAUGUUUCUGGAGGUGCUGGAAAUGAUUACAAACCUCAGGGAGCAGUUAGUUUGAGGAUGAAUCACAUCGACAAGUAUGACCAUCCCAUUUUAGAUACCCACUUGUUGUAAUCAUGAGAAAUAUGAUAAGGAUACAAGGAAAAGAAGAUUUGAGCUUUACAAUUAAAUAUCCUCAUUGCAGAAUUAGGGAGCUGUCCCCACAGGUAAGGAGACCAUGUCAACGUGGAGCCCUACAGGCAUUAAAUAAUAAAUCCAAGAUGAUGUAGUGAUGGCUUUGAGCUUUCUGUACUCUCCUCCUCAUGUGAAAUGUGUCUUCUAUGAUUGGGUCAUGUGUAUGAGAAUUCAGUUCUUAUAAUGGGAACCUGGGCCAAUUAACAUCACCCUCCACAUGGUGCUUCAUCUGAUGAAAGCCAUUGCAUGUCCAGGAGAACACUGGAAGAAACACCAGAACAGCUGCAGCAGUCAGAGCUCACCUUCGGGCACCAGGUAGCCUGCACUCUGCCUAGUAGUUCCUGAGUGCUUCAGCACAUAACACAGAUGAUCAUAAAGGGGAACUGAAUCUCUCCACAUGGGUUUUAUUGCUGACUGUUUCAGAUUGCUCUUUGUGAGAAGGCACUUCAAGACAACUGGGUAAGAAUGUUUUUCUCUCCUCCUCUUGUGCACACCCUGCCACAGAUAAAUGUGGAUGUAUUUCUCUCUGGAGCUCAGGGCUCAUGAUCUGGAGAGGGCAGUGGCAGAGCAGAGCAGGGAGGUUGCCUACUUGAAAUGCAGGUACAGGAUUUUGACAUAUUUCUUUUAAGGGCGCUGUGAGGUUUUUAAAAAGGCUAAACCCUUUGGUGUCCAAUGGAGGCCUGGGUGUGGUAACUCUUAGUGAAACUGAUUCAUCUCGAUGUUCAAGACUGGAAGUCAUCCAAAAACAGAGGCUUCCAGAGGAAUUCAGGAGGCACAAACGAAUGGCAAGAGGACCUGACAGGGAGAUCCCUCCAUGGAGAGGUACAGAGCACAUUGUGAAAUGCAGUAGCUUAACUUCUGUGAUAACAUCUGCACAAAUGGCUUCUUGUUCCAGUGGGUGUCAUUGGCUUGGUCUCAUGCAAACAGUCCCAGGUGGUUACUAGAGGGCACAGGUUGUCUCACAGUGGUGACAGGACACUGGUUCCCUCAGAUGCCCCGGCCAGCAGGGCUCAUUGGGUCUGUCCCUUGUGAGUGGUGGAGCUCACACCCCUUCACUGACCGUGGGCCCCCCUGAAACCUCCCGGUUACAAUUAACUGGAGAGUGGGUACUAGAAUGAUCAUGGGUCAGCACCCCUUCCACCUUGAGACAAUGUUGAAGGCUGUUUCUUUUGUUUCACAUGAAUAAUGUGAACAACAGCAUGAAUUGGAGGCUGUAUGUCCUGAUGAGCUUUCUUGAAUUGGCCUUUGGAUAAAUGCUCAUAGAAAAUACACUUUGAUUAAAGAAAGCAGACAUUU